rnacentral:rRNA from 1 species
UACGUAGGGGGCAAGCGUUAUCCGGAUUUACUGGGUGUAAAGGGAGCGUAGACGGUAUGGCAAGUCUGAUGUGAAAACCCGGGGCUCAACCCCGGGACUGCAUUGGAAACUGUCGGACUAGAGUGUCGGAGAGGCAAGUGGAAUUCCUAGUGUAGCGGUGAAAUGCGUAGAUAUUAGGAGGAACACCAGUGGCGAAGGCGGCUUGCUGGACGAUGACUGACGUUGAGGCUCGAAAGCGUGGGGAGCAAACAGG